rnacentral:rRNA from 1 species
GAUGAACGCUGGCGGCGUGCCUAAUACAUGCAAGUCGAGCGAACGGACGAGAAGCUUGCUUCUCUGAUGUUAGCGGCGGACGGGUGAGUAACACGUGGAUAACCUACCUAUAAGACUGGGAUAACUUCGGGAAACCGGAGCUAAUACCGGAUGAUAUUUUGAACCGCAGGGUUCAAAAGUGAAAGACGGUCUUGCUGUCACUUAUAGAUGGAUCCGCGCUGCAUUAGCUAGUUGGUAAGGUAACGGCUUACCAAGGCAACGAUGCAUAGCCGACCUGAGAGGGUGAUCGGCCACACUGGAACUGAGACACGGUCCAGACUCCUACGGGAGGCAGCAGUAGGGAAUCUUCCGCAAUGGGCGAAAGCCUGACGGAGCAACGCCGCGUGAGUGAUGAAGGUCUUCGGAUCGUAAAACUCUGUUAUUAGGGAAGAACAUAUGUGUAAGUAACUGUGCACAUCUUGACGGUACCUAAUCAGAAAGCCACGGCUAACUACGUG